rnacentral:rRNA from 1 species
GUGGGGAAUUUUUCGCAAUGGGGGCAACCCUGACGAAGCAAUGCCGCGUGGAUGAUGAAGUAUCUCGGUACGUAAAAUCCUUUCGACGGGGACGAAACCGCAAGGUUGACGGUACCCGUAGAAGAAGCCCCGGCUAACUCCGUGCCAGCAGCCGCGGUAAUACGGGGGGGGCAAGCGUUGUUCGGAAUUACUGGGCGUAAAGGGUGCGUAGGCGGCUUUCUAAGUCGGAUGUGAAAACUCUGGGCUCAACCCAGAGACUGCAUCCGAAACUGGAGAGCUUGGGUUCUGGAGGGGAAAGCGGAAUUCCUGGUGUAGCGGUGAAAUGCGUAGAUAUCAGGAGGAACACCGGUGGCGAAGGCGGCUUUCUGGACAGAUACCGACGCUGAGGCACGAAAGCUAGGGGAGCAAACAGGAUUAGAAACCCGAGUAGUCC